UACGGAGGGGGCAAGCGUUAUUCGGAAUCACUGGGCGUAAAGGGUGCGUAGGCGGCUUGGUGGGUCUGGUGUGAAAGCCCCGGGCUCAGCCCGGGAAGGGCACUAGAAACUGCCGAGCUGGAGUGCCGGAGGGGAGAGUGGAAUUCCUGGUGUAGCGGUGAAAUGCGUAGAUAUCAGGAGGAAUACCGGUGGCGAAAGCGACUCUCUGGACGGCAACUGACGCUGAGGCACGAAAGCGUGGGGAGCAAACAGG
rnacentral:rRNA from 1 species